rnacentral:tRNA from 1 species
GCCGGAUUAGCUCAGUCGGUAGAGCGACGCAUUCGUAAUGCGUAGGUCGUGGGUUCAAGUCCCAUUUCCGGCU